GCGGGAACCAGUUAUAGUAAGCUUGAUACGACAUUAAGCAAACGCUUGAUCUCAGAUCAUGUGAGGUUUAACAUCGAAACGAAGCUAAAACGAUGUGAGCUUCGACGUCAUUACCCAUCCAACAGCAGCAGCUCGUAGCGUAUCCAAAAACACUGAUUGCGUACACGACCA